rnacentral:rRNA from 1 species
CUACGGGAGGCACCAGUGAGGAAUAUUGCACAAUGGGGGGAACCCAGAUGCAGCAACGCCGCGUGGAGGAUGACGCAUUUCGGUGUGUAAACUCCUUUUAUAUGUCAAGAAAAUGACGGUAGCAUAUGAAUAAGCACCGGCUAACUCCGUGCCAGCAGCCGCGGUAAUACGGAGGGUGCAAGCGUUACUCGGAAUCACUGGGCGUAAAGGACGCGUAGGCGGGUUGGAAAGUCAGGUGUGAAAUCCUACAGCUUAACUGUAGAACUGCACUUGAAACUUCUAAUCUAGAGUAUGGGAGGGGGAGAUGGAAUUAGUGGUGUAGGGGUAAAAUCCGUAGAUAUCACUAGGAAUACCUAAAGCGAAGGCGAUCUCCUGGAACAUUACUGACGCUAAGGCGUGAAAGCGUGGGGAGCAAACAGGAUUAGAUACCCUAGUAGUC